rnacentral:lncRNA from 1 species
AAAAAAAAAAAAAAAAAAAAAAAAAAAAAGAUUUCAUGAAAUUUAGAAAAUCGUGUCUUGGGAAUGAAACAGUCGCAUAGAACAUUUGAAAACUCUCAAUUUGGCAUCGUUAUGAAGCUAUGUGGUCGCAUGCAUUUUAAGCUAAACAGUCGCAUAGCUUUAGACUUGACACCUCUUUUUCCUUGUGCAAAAUUUCACGAUAAUUUUGAAUUGCACUCAUGGAUGAAAAUUCGACACCCAGGCUGAAAGGUAUGCCCGUAUUUAUUUACGCUACUCGUUUUUCUCAUAUAUCAUCCAAAACCUAAAUCCAAUGCACCAAAACUUGCCCCCGUCUUCAUGUCCAACAUGUAAGUUGUUAUUUGGCUUGUUGCACUCAAUCUCUUGGCCUCUACAUCUUAGACAACUCAUCCGGCAGCCAACUUGAUCCUCCGUAGCUCUUGAUCUUGUCUUUGGUUUCUCUUCAAGUUGAGCUGGAUCUUUGUAAUUUGUUGUCUUCCUUGGAUCACAUCAUCUAGCAAGACCUAAACCCCAUAAUUCAAAAAAGGGAAAAAUUCAACAAACCCAUCCAAAUAUAAGCAUUUCUAUAAUAUAAUCAUUAGUCGAAACAUGGUUAUAACUUGUGCAAAUUAUUAUGCCGGAACUAAAAAGACAUCAUAUAUAUUUUUCUCUUUCUUGUUUGUUUUAUUCUUAAAAAAUUAACAAAAUAAGAAAAUCGGACCUGAUUGAUGCGGCACAAACCACCUCUCGUCAAGACAAAUUUAUUUAUUUAUUAUUAUUUUUUUUUUUAUAGAUGGGGAAUCUAAAAAUAAACCAUUAGUAAUAAAUAAUCUCAAAAGUGCUGGCCUCUAUUUCUUAAAAUUAAUUCUUCUCAAAAUCAUUUUCGAUCACACAUUUCUUUCAAUUCUCAAAUUUUCAAUCUCACAUUUCAUCAACUUUUAUUAAAAUCUAUUAAAAAUCUAUAUUUUAUAAAAAAUCAAACUGGGACUUAGUUUGAAAUCCAUUUCUUUGCUCUCUUUCCAUAGCUAAAUGGGCAAUGGUGAGGAUAAAUAUAAGGAAAAAAAAUUCAUAUAUAUGCUUUAAAUUAAAAAUAUUUCUUAAUAUACUAAAAAGGUAAUUAUUAUGCCUCCACUUUAAAGAGGGGAUCAGGACUCCAUUAUUCAUUCAUGAGUCCCUCGUGUUCCCACCGCGCUUUUCUUUCUUUCUUUCUUUUCCUUUUCCAUACUUUUUUAUCCCUAAAUUUUUGCCUUCCCUUUCUUUCUUUCUUUUCUCCUUCACACACUGUUCUUUCUUUCUUUUACUUUUCAGCAUGCUUAUAAUCCUACCUUUUUCCCUUUCCUUUCUUUCUAUCUUUUCCCCUUCCUAUACUGUUCUCGCACUUUUCUUUCUCUCUCUUUUCCACAUAGUUUUAGCUGUACCUUUUCCCUUCCUCAUUUUCAUACUCUAUUCAUGCACUUUUU